UCUGUGGUUCGUCUAGGUUAGCGAUAGUGGUUCUAGUUGUAGACGGUUGUUUUGUUCUCCCGUAAUCAGAUAGGGAAGAAAAUUGUUUUUUUAAUAGCGUGGGUUUGCUAGCAGUGAAAAGUGUGAAAAAUCCAGAAAAUGCUUACUUUAUAGUUGUUUAUAUCUUUAAUGUGUCUUUACAUUAGAGUCCUUCAGAAGUUCACAGAAGUGUUUUUAAAAAAUAGGGACAAUUAGCAGUAACGGCCGCGAUGGAGCCAGCAUCAGGCAGUGGCCGCUUUCGAAUAAGCGAAGGGGAUUGGAUUUGUAGCGAUCCACAGUGUGGAAAUGUUAACUUUGCCCGCAGGGAUACCUGUAAUAGGUGUGACAAAGAGAAGGGUGAUUCCCCCAAAAAGAAGAAACUGGGGCAAGAAAUUGGGAAAGCAGCAGCAGAAAAGAGCCGUGGACUGUUCAGUGCAGAUGACUGGCAGUGUAACAAGUGUGGGAAUGUAAACUGGGCACGUCGGCAGUCCUGCAAUAUGUGCAAUGCCCCUAAAUAUGGUGAAGUGGAAGAAAGAACAGGUUAUGGUGGCGGAUACAAUGAUCGUGGUGUUGUGGAGUACAUUGAGCGGCAGGAUUCUGAUGAUGAAUAUGAUGAGUUUGGACGUAGAAAGAAAAAGAAGAAGGAUUCUGCUGAAGAGAAAAAGACUUCAGACAAAACAAAUGAUGUGGAUGAUAAUGGAGAAGAAGAGGAAGAGGAAGAUGAUGAUGAUGAUGAUGGAGACCUUUCCAAGUAUGACCUCAGUGGCUGGGGAGAUGAUGAUGAUAAGGAAAGUAAAGACAAAGAAGAAAGUAAGGAAAUCAAAGAGAAAGACCAUAGAGGAAGAAAUGAAACAAGACAACGUUCAAAAUCUCGCUCGCAAUCCUGUUCACCACCAUACAAACGUUCAAAAAACAACCAUUCAGAUUCUAGGUCAUCGAGUAGCAAUUCUCGGUCAAGUUCUCCAGCAGCAGAUUCAAACAGGCACCACAGUUACAGGUCCAGGUAAACCGGGCGGUAAUGGGUAUUCACAAGGUCGAUAUCCUUGUUGGUUCUAUACAGAAGCUUAUCCUAUUUGAUGUAGCAGACAUGAUGGGGUCUGUGCUCUGAAGGAUCGACAUUGAAGAGCGCUGACCAGUCUUACACCAGCAACUGCAGAUGCAAUCCAAGAUUUUCAUUUCAUUGUGUUGGAGGGCAAUGUGGGUACCUCCUGUCAUAUGCAGGUCAUUACCUUUAAGUGGAGAUUUUGUAAAUUAUAUCCCCUCACUCCAUAACUAACACUCCAUGCUGAGGAACUGUUCUUUUUAAAUCAAGCACAACUUUCUCAUGGUUACGAGCUUCUACAUUUGGAAUGUUAAAAUAAGAGAGAUUGGGUAACAUAUUUUUGUGCCAUACUUCAGUACAAUGUUACUAAAAAUUGUUGCAUGGCUUUAGAAACCUGUAUGAUAAUUUAUGGACCUAGAUUUAAAUUGUGUCUUGUGUAAGUAAUUUAAAUUUAUCAUUUUGAAAGUAACAGUUAAAUCAUUGAAGUUGCUCUCAUUGAUGUCUAAAACACUGACAAAGCUGUUGGUGAGUGAAAUAACUAGAUAAUUUAGUCAUGAGACUUUAACUUUCAAAACAUUUCCUUGUCACAAGAGUAUGAAUCAUAGUUGGCGGGGUUAAGUGGCGUUGUAUCACCCUUGUUUCAUAUUCGGACAUUUCAAUCACCUGGUUGGGACUGGAUAGCCUGAUUUGGGUCUUCAUGAUCUUCCUGUCCCAUGGGCAUAUCAUGUGAGAUAAUACUUUCAGGUGGGUGAACACUGAUCCUUGACAUGUCAUACUUUUCAAAAUUGUCCUAUUCUCUCUCGUUUCAUGCUGCGUAACGUCUUUGGUGAAUACAUCGUAAUUAAUAGUGAGGAGUGGAUAUUUGCUUGUGCAUCCCACAUGUCGUGCUUGGCAACUUUAAAAAAAUUAGAUCUUACACAUAAAGAACCAUUAAAGGAAUCCAUGUAAUUAACCCUUUAAAGAGAAGUGGUUAACUAUAUAUACUAACAUAUUUAACAACCAAUAACUGUGUUUUGCCCACAAAAUGUAUUAUGGGUUCUAUAUUAUUCUCAGAAUAAACCGAUUAUUUCCUUAUACAUUGUUUGCCUUUUGAUCUUUGUAAUAGAGUAAACUGCAGUAAACUGAAUGUUUAUGCAUUAUUAAGAUGAGCUUCAGCUUCAAAGGUCUAAAACGUGGGGUGCACAAAAAUGUUGAGUACAUUUACUACUGUCAUCAUUACUGAAGCAUAAAUACUUUUCUUGGAAGCGUUGGAUGUGCAGUUUUUCUUCUAACCAUGUUACUGCCUCAUACAGAUAAGAAAAUUAUAUAAGUAAGUUGUAAUGUUAGAACAUUAAAUUUUAUACAAAUUUGGAAGCUCUGAAAUCAUGACAGAUGUAACAGGACUUGACCAAUGUGUUUUUAUACUGAUACUUUCUAGGUGUAGUAGAGAUGUGAAAAUGGUUAUCAUAGUUUCAUCUGAAAAUAUUCAGUUCCCAUACAGAUAACUGAUUUAUAGUUCCCAUUUGAUUUAAGUAUGAAUGCCCAAAGUAGUUACAAUUUAAGCACGAUGUGGUAUUUUGUUUGAAAUAAAGAUUUGCCAUAAAGGGUCUUCACAUUGGAAAUGGUUUGUAAGGUGUUAUAUUAAACUUUUGCAGCUUAGCAGUUUUCAUUCCCAUACAAAUAUUUUUAAUAUCUGUAUAAAUGAUACAAUCUUCUGACUUCUUGAGGUGGGGCCCCAUUUAGAAAAAACAUAUAGGCCAUAGUGCAGAUGGGAAUAUCUGAACCUAAGAGGGAUGAACUGACAGGAGGGUGGAGAAAAUUGCAUAAUAAAGAGCUCCAUAAUUUGUACUCAUCUUUUGGGGGAAAUCUGGCUGAUAAGCAUUGAUCUUAAAUUGUUACAUUUAAUAGAAUAGAGUAAUUUAUUGUUUUUGAUACUAUGAUCUAAAUUGUUAAUGUAAUUUUGUGUAGUUAUUAGCAAGCAGUAUUCUCUUUGAAUGUUAAAACAUUUUUCAGUCAUUUUAAUGUUGCUGGGGUGCAUGGCCCCAUUAUUAUAUGUAUCAUGAACUCUGAUGUAAUUUUAUAGUACACCAGGGCAUAAACUCAGGACCCUAUAAUUGUAUUUGGUGAAAGCUGGUGAAUGCAAUACAAGUAUGUGCUUCCCACUGCUUUUGAAAAAUAGUGAAAUUGUCAUGUGAAUGGCAUCAUGCCAUGACACAUUCAUGGUCAUUGGUGGACCAUAUCUUUUUGACUUGUAGGUUCAGUGGUUUUGUCCGUGGUGGUCGCUGUCUGGUCUUGUAGGACAGCAGUAUGUUCCUUCAAACUGUAGGUAUCCACCUACAAGUCCUCAUAGCCCAACCCAGAGUCAGUGAACCAAGAAAUAUUUAGCAGUCAAAUGUUGCCAUAACUGACUUAAUGAACUGAAAAAUUAGAUUCUCUUAUUUUCACUAGGUACCAAAACUUAAAAUUGGUAUGACAAACUUCAUAUUUUUCAACAUGUCAUGUACUAUGAAAAGGUUGCUCUCCCUCUAUAUGAAGAGUGCAGGGUGGCAUUUGGUUUAGUUGCAAUACAUUCUUUACGGAGUGUGAUUGUGCCUGUCCAUGUUUUUGAGUACUGGAGCCACUAGGUACACUUGGAAUGGAGGCUUAGACUGAUGGUUGUAAUAAACUUUGUUUUGGUUCA